rnacentral:miRNA from 1 species
UGCACAUGGCAACCUAGCUCCCA